CAAUAGCGUAUAUUUAAGUUGCUGCAGUUAAAAAGCUCGUAGUUGGAUUUCGGAUGGGAAUGGCCGGUCCGCCGUUUCGGUGUGCACUUGCUACGCCCACCUUGCUGCCGGGGACGUGCUCUUGAGUUCACGCUCGGGACACGGAGUCGGCGAGGUUACUUUGAGUAAAUUAGAGUGUUCAAAGCAGGCCUACGCUCUGAAUACAUUAGCAUGGAAUAACACGAUAGGACUCUGGCCUAUCUUGUUGGUCUGUAGGACCGGAGUAAUGAUUAAGAGGGACAGUCGGGGGCAUUCGUAUUUCAUUGUCAGAGGUGAAAUUCUUGGAUUUAUGAAAGACGAACUACUGCGAAAGCAUUUGCCAAGGAUGUUUUCAUUAA
rnacentral:rRNA from 1 species